rnacentral:rRNA from 1 species
GACGAACGCUGGCGGCGUGCUUAACACAUGCAAGUCGAACGGAAAGGCCCUGCUUUUGUGGGGUGCUCGAGUGGCGAACGGGUGAGUAACACGUGAGUAACCUGCCCUUGACUUUGGGAUAACUUCAGGAAACUGGGGCUAAUAUCGGAUAGGAGCUCCUGCUGCAUGGUGGGGGUUGGAAAGUUUCGGCGGUUGGGGAUGGACUCGCGGCUUAUCAGCUUGUUGGUGGGGUAGUGGCUUACAAAGGCUUUGACGGGUAGCCGGCCUGAGAGGGUGACCGGCCACAUUGGGACUGAGAUACGGCCCAGACUCCUACGGGAAGCAGCAGUGGGGAAUAUUGCACAGUGGGCGGAAGCCUGAUGCAGCAACGCCGCGUGCGGGAUAACGGCCUUCGGGUUGUAAACCGCUUUCGCCUGAGACGAAGCGUGAGUGACGGUAAUGGGUAAAGAAGCACCGGCUAACUACGUG